GGCUUCAUUUCCUUUCUGUAGUCGCGGCUG
ncrna:unclassified sequences S4-Bacteroidia ribosomal protein leader